GAGGAGGCCAUGUGACCAUGGAGGCAGAGACGUGAAUCUGCCCGUUCCCAAGUCAAGGAAUGUUAACAGCUAACAGAAGCUGUCAGAGGCAAAGAACAGGUUUUCCACUAGACAGGCAAGCCCAGUGAUGUUGAGUUUCCCAGAAUUUGAGAGAAAUAAAUUUGUCGUUUUAAGCCACCAGGGUUGUGGUGACUUGUUAUGGCAGCCACGGGAAACUAUUACAAGCAGGUAUGAUGCAAGUCCCUUUGUCAUAUCAUGGCUGAAUUAUAAGCACAAGCAGACUACAAAUACAGUAAUUCAGCAAAAAAACUAAAAUAGAUUUCUGUGAGAAAAGAUUGGUUAUAUGGAAUUUAUAAGAAUAUAUAUGUUUUAAUAAUUUAAAUGCUGGCCAGACACUAUUUUUUGAAUGCGUGAACGUGACCUCUGGCCAGUCAACUUCUCUGGGCCUCAGUUUCCCCUUCCACACAAAAGGGUUGGAGGAAUGGGAUGGGGUCCUAGCGGGGUGAGGGAUGGCACCAGCUGUUAGAGCAUCUACUGUGUAGAAGACUGGGCUAGGGACAGGGGUUGAUGGGACUCAGCACCUGGCCUGAGGCCCUAGGAGAUGGCUGGGAACAGGCAGAUCCAGAAUCAGAUCAGGCAGAUCCAGAAUCAGAUGUAGAGUUCUAGGGACUACUCAGAGGAUUAUGUUACAGAGAUAGAGUGCUACUGUACAGGUAGAGAGACAGCAGGAACUGCUAGGGCCAAAGCCCCCUCCUCUAGUCCUCCUAUCUCUCCAUACUACAGGGUGAAGGGCCUUUUUCACCCAGGGAUUGGGAAGAGGCUGAAUCCUUUUUUUUUUUUUUGAGACAGAGUCUCGCUGUGUCAUCCAGGUUGGAGUGCAGUGGCGUGAUCUCAGCUCACUGCAACCUCCGCCUCCCAGGUUCAAGCAAUUCUCCUGUCUCAGCCUCCUGAGUAGCUGGGAUUACAGGCACGCACCACC
rnacentral:lncRNA from 10 species